UGGGAAGUUCAGCUUCCUGCCUGUAAGGAGGGUGCGGUGGACGGAUUAAGAACAACGCUGUGAAAGAAAAGCCUGGCUCUCAGUUUGCUCCGUGUGGAGCACCCGGCUUUGCAGAGCUGUGGCGCAGACGUGGAGAAAAGCUUUUGUCAAUGUGUGUGUUUCAGAGUGGUACACUUGAACACUAUGCGAAGACACUGCCUUCAUCAUUUCUUGGGAAGUCCUGAAUUACCCCCAGAUAGUGACAUAUUCCUGUUAGCAAUCUGGAACCUAGAGGGAAGAAGACACAUGGAGCCAUGUCCCAGCCAGCCUACAGCCAACACACACCAUGA